AAUCAACGCUGGCGGCAGGCCUAACACAUGCAAGUCGAGCGGCAGUGCGGGGCAACCUGGCGGCGAGCGGCGGACGGGUGAGGAAUGCAUCGGAAUCUACCCUGUCGUGGGGGAUAACGUAGGGAAACUUACGCUAAUACCGCAUACGACCGAGAGGUGAAAGUGGGGGACCUUCGGGCCUCACGCGAUUGGAUGAGCCGAUGCCGGAUUAGCUAGUUGGUGGGGUAAAGGCCCACCAAGGCGACGAUCCGUAGCUGGUCUGAGAGGAUGAUCAGCCACAUUGGGACUGAGACACGGCCCAAACUCCUACGGGAGGCAGCAGUGGGGAUAUUGGACAAUGGGCGCAAGCCUGAUCCAGCCAUGUCGCGUGUGUGAAGAAGGCC
rnacentral:rRNA from 1 species